CCUACGGGAGGCAGCAGUGAGGAAUAUUGGUCAAUGGACGCAAGUCUGAACCAGCCAUGCCGCGUGCAGGAAGACGGCUCUAUGAGUUGUAAACUGCUUUUGUACGAGGGUAAACGCAGAUACGCGUCUCUGUUUGAAAGUAUCGUACGAAUAAGGAUCGGCUAACUCCGUGCCAGCAGCCGCGGUAAUACGGAGGAUUCAAGCGUUAUCCGGAUUUAUUGGGUUUAAAGGGUGCGUAGGCGGUCGGUUAAGUUAGAGGUGAAAUCCCGGGGCUCAACCUCGGAAUUGCCGUUGAUACUGUUCGGCUAGAGAGUAGGUGCGGUAGGCGGAAUGUAUGGUGUAGCGGUGAAAUGCUUAGAGAUCAUACAGAACACCGAUUGCGAAGGCAGCUUACCAAGCUACUUCUGACGUUGAGGCACGAAAGCGUGGGGAGCAAACAGGAUUAGAUACCCGAGUAGUC
rnacentral:rRNA from 1 species